rnacentral:lncRNA from 1 species
AGAAAACAAGACACUUUUUAGAAAUUAAUCAUCUUCUACUAUCCUUAGGCGCAGAGUCAAUUUUGAAUGGGGGGAGGUCCAGGGAGACUGGUAGUGAUUGGGGGAUUAUUUCACUCGGCCCUUGCUCUGGGCCUGACAAGUUCUAAAAUUUGCAGGUUUGGAAAAUGUGGUUAGUGGUAACGGUGGGGUCUACAGAUGGGUGACUCUGG